CCCCUUUCGGGACCGCAACUGGAGAGUUUUCAGUAUUCUACCAGCCUCGGCUAUGGGAGGGAGAGUCAAGCAGGGGCAUACCCAUUCCAUUUCUAGCUUGAGCAGUGGCUAGCGAGUGGAAGGCAAUCAGCUAUAAGC